GGGUUCCGCCAGAAGCGCAGCCAUUGUCCCGCGACCGGGCUGUGGCUUUCGCCCCGCACCUCAGGUUUUCUGGAGGUUAACCCCCGAGCAGCCUUGCGAAUGCUGACUAGGGGAGGGGGCCGAACUAGCCUAACUUGAGUCGGUCGUGCUGCACAAUCGGGGUGGGAGGCUGUUUAACCCGAGUUCGUCCUGCCGCGGGGACAGGCCGGACCUGGGCCGCGGCUCGCGGACGCCCAGCACCGGUCCUUGGGUCCUCAGGAGUCCUCAAGACCCUGCGCGUGCCUGGAGGAGAGCAUGGAAGAGCAGGACGAGAAGCCCCCCGGGCCUCUGAAGGCCUCUGCCCAGGACUUGCUUCUUCCACAAGAGAUUAUUAUCAAGGUAGAGGAAGAAGACACUGGGUCACUGGUCAUCCCAUCCCAGGUGAGUUUCUUUACAUUGAGAAAUUCGUAUGGUUUGAUGAUGACAGAAAUCAGACUGAAAUAAGCUGGGAAGUUAGAAGAAAGUGAGGCUAUAGCAAUUUUUUUUUAACUAAAAAAAAUUUAUUGAAUUAUAUCACUC
rnacentral:lncRNA from 1 species